AGCUUCAGGGCAAUGUGCACCCUGGGAGGGGCGCUUCUAGUAGCUGCUUAUGAUCUGAUGCACAGAAUCUUCUGGCCACAGCAGGAAACCUGGCUUCCUGAAGGACCCACAGAGGAUCUGUGGGGGAGAGAGAGAUAGAAAGUUCCAUCAGUUUGCUGAUUAGAUUGUUGUCUGAAGUCUGUGUGUGUGUGUGUGUCUGUGUGUGUGUCUGUGUGUGUGUCUGUGUGUAUGUGUGUCUGUGUGUGUGUCUGUGUGUCUGUGUGUAUGUCUGUGUGUGUGUGUCUGUGUGUGUGUCUGUGUGUAUGUCUGUGUGUGUUGCACAAGUCUGAAGAGCCUUCUCUUCCAUCCUCCCUCCUCCCCGCAGUGCAGUUAUCCUGGCCUUUUCCCCUAUUAAUCUGUCAUUAAGAGGAAGGACACUAUUAAUGGAAAUGGUGCUGUCUCAUACAGAGUCCCUCACCACAGUCUGUUCCCAGCAACAACCUACAUGUUGGAAUGGACAAAGGACGUGCAUGAUGGACGGUAGAUGGCCAGCCUUAGGGUGGGAGACACUCCUGGCUACAGAGACAGCGUCACCCUGUUCCCAGGCUUCUCAUGUGCAGAGUGAAGAUGAACACAGCUCUUUAUGCGGCAAAGUUUGCUUAGGAUGCAGGGGGAGGUAGGUGUCGUGUUAGUAGUCAUCGAUUGCUGUGUAACAAAACAGCCUCAAACUCAAAAGCCUCACUCAUCACUGGUUGGGAGAUCUGGGAGUGUCUUAUCUCUCCUUCUCACUGUCCU
rnacentral:lncRNA from 1 species